rnacentral:lncRNA from 1 species
GAACAGUGUGGGAACAGUCCUGCGUGUGGGAAUGGCAACAUCUCCACAGAGGCUGUGCUGUGAUUGGUGGUGGUUUCUAACAUAUUGGCUGCAAAUACGCAGCCAUUGUAUGGCAGGAAAGAGUUCCUGGAGAGAGAAGACAAAGACGGUGUGUGUUGCAAAAGGAAGCCCCAGGCUCAAGACUGGAGAACUGAAUGUGCAACUUGCAAGGGUACUGGAGACAAUGAAAAUCAUGUGA